rnacentral:rRNA from 1 species
GAAGCGGCAACAGCUCAAAUUUGAAAUCUGACCCUUUGGGGUCCGAGUUGUAAUUUGCAGAGGGUGUUUCGGGCACGGUGCCGGUUUAAGUCCUUUGGAACAGGGUGUCAUAGAGGGUGAGAACCCCGUAUGUGACCGGUCGCCAAACCUAUGUGAAACCCCUUCGACGAGUCGAGUUGUUUGGGAAUGCAGCUCAAAAUGGGUGGUAAAUUUCAUCUAAAGCUAAAUAUUGGCCAGAGACCGAUAGCGCACAAGUAGAGUGAUCGAAAGAUGAAAAGCACUUUGGAAAGAGAGUCAAACAGCACGUGAAAUUGUUGAAAGGGAAGCGCUUGCGACCAGACCUGCUCGCGGGUGAUCAGCGGUGCUUUUCGCGCCGUGCACUCAUCCGCGAUCAGGCCAGCAUCGGUUCAGGCGGCCGGACAAAGACUCGGAGAAUGUAGCUCCCUCCGGGGAGUGUUAUAGCUCCUUGUGCAAUACGGCCAGCCGGGACCGAGGACCGCGCU